rnacentral:rRNA from 1 species
CCUACGGGAGGCAGCAGUGAGGAAUAUUGGACAAUGGGCGCAAGCCUGAUCCAGCCAUGCCGCGUGCAGGAUGAAGCAUCUAUGGUGUGUAAACUGCUUUUGUACGAGAAGAAACACUGCUUCGUGAAGCAGCUUGACGGUAUCGUAAGAAUAAGGAUCGGCUAACUCCGUGCCAGCAGCCGCGGUAAUACGGAGGAUCCAAGCGUUAUCCGGAAUCAUUGGGUUUAAAGGGUCCGUAGGCGGCCUUAUAAGUCAGUGGUGAAAUCUCACGGCUCAACUGUGAAAUGGCCAUUGAUACUGUAGGGCUUGAAUUAUUAGGAAGUAACUAGAAUAUGUAGUGUAGCGGUGAAAUGCUUAGAGAUUACAUGGAAUACCAAUUGCGAAGGCAGGUUACUACUAAUGGAUUGACGCUGAUGGACGAAAGCGUGGGUAGCGAACAGGAUUAGAUACCCUGGUAGUCCACGCCGUAAACGAUGGAUACUAGCUGUUGGGGGCAACCUCAGUGGCUAAGCGAAAGUGAUAAGUAUCCCACCUGGGGAGUACGUUCGCAAGAAUGAAACUCAAAGGAAUUGACGG